rnacentral:rRNA from 1 species
UAUCCUACGGGGAGCAGCAGUCGAGAAUCAUUCACAAUGGGGGAAACCCUGAUGGUGCGACGCCGCGUGGGGGAAUGAAGGUCUUAGGAUUGUAAACCCCUGUCAUGUGGGAGCAAAUUAAAAAGAUAGAACCACAAGAGGAAGAGACGGCUAACUCUGUGCCAGCAGCCGCGGUAAUACAGAGGAGUCAAGCGUUGUUCGGAAUCACUGGGCGUAAAGCGUGCGGAGGAUGUUUCGUAAGUCGUGUGUGAAAGGCGAGGGCUCAACACGCGGACGGAACAUGAGACUGCGAGACUAGAGUAAUG